UACAGGGGGGGCAAGCGUUGUUCGGAAUUACUGGGCGUAAAGGGUUCGUAGGUGGCCAACUAAGUCAGACGUGAAAUCCCUCAGCUUAACUGGGGAACUGCGUCUGAAACUGGUUGGCUUGAGUGCAGGAGAGGAAUGCGGAAUUCCAGGUGUAGCGGUGAAAUGCGUAGAUAUCCGGAAGAACACCUGAGGCGUAGGCGGCUUGCUGGGCAUGAUCUGACGCUGAGGCGCGAAAGCGUGGGGAGCAAACAGG
rnacentral:rRNA from 1 species